CAUGGGUUGCCACUGACAAAAGCCUGUAGUGAUGGCUACUGCUUUUAAACUCAGAGGCUAGAUCAGUUACUAAAUAACUUCUUCCCAUUUCUAGAAUCACAGGAGACUAUCUUAGCUGUUGAUUUGCCUGAAGAUGACAUGAUACCUGGGAAGAACUUGGAAGGUUUUCUAGGAGACAUUGGAAUUAAGUCACCUAAAGAAGAGGUAGAGAAAAUUCUUCAGUCAGAUUUUGUUUCUGAAGACAACAUGGUGAAUGUUAAAGACUAUAUGAAGACUCUGAGUGACACCCAGAAACUUUCCAGUUUUAUUGGUAAGAUCUUUACGGUAAACUGUUAAAAAGCAACUCAGGACUCAUUUAGAGGUCAUCUAGUCAAACACUAUAUUGGAUGCUUAAUCUUCUCUGUGG
rnacentral:lncRNA from 1 species